CGUCUGCUUGCAUCCAAAGAGAGAGAUCGAACGAUUUCGGAUCCAUUAAAGCGUUUCCAGUUCGGAGAGGCUCCGCCUCGUUCAUAGGCGCGACAUUUUUGGUUUCGCACGUUUUUUCCGUGUACACACUUAAUUUCCCAGAGGCGAGCCAACGGCUAUUCAGUUCGGUUGGCAGCGUUCCAACCGAAGUGGCUCAUACAGUCGAGGAGGAGGAGGAGGAGGGGAGGGAACCGUGGAGUUCUUGAAAUAAAUCAGCUUGGACCGAUAAAAAGCAGUAGAAUUUUCAGCGUAUCUCGCCUCGUCGACAAGAUCGAUACACGGGCAGUCGAUAAAUAAAAACGUUGUUCUCUUUCUUUUUUUUUUUUUUUUUUUUUUUUUUCGAAACGCGUCCCCAUUCACGACUCGCUCGACGAUUCUUUCCCUCGAAUAGAUUAAUGGACGGGAUUA